rfam:Triticum aestivum genome assembly, contig: Triticum_aestivum_CS42_TGACv1_scaffold_500085_6BL
UGAUUACUCCCUCUGUCCGAAAAUACUUGUCAUCAAAAUGAACAAAAAAGGAUGUAUCCAGAACUAAAAUACAUCUAGAUACAUCCCCUUUUAUCCAUUUUGAAAAUGACAAGUAUUUCUGGACGGAGGGAGUACUUC